rnacentral:rRNA from 1 species
UCUUUKCGGGGCGGUCCAACUAAUAUCCCAUCGCGGUGCUCUUCAUUGAGUGUCGAGGUGGGCCGGUACGUUUACUUUGAACAAAUUAGAGUGCUUAAAGCAGGCUAUCUUCGCCUGAAUACUGUGUGCAUGGAAUAAUGGAAUAGGACCUCGGUUCUAUUUUGUUGGUUUUCGGAACCCCGAGGUAAUGAUUAAUAGGGACAGAUGGGGGCAUUCGUAUUGCGACGUUAGAGGUGAAAUUCUUGGAUCGUCGCAAGACGGACAGAAGCGAAAGCAUUUGCCAAAAAUGUUUUCAUUAAUCAAGAACGAAAGUUAGAGGUUYGAAGGCGAUCAGAUACCGCCCUAGUUCUAACCAUAAACGAUGCCAGCUAGCGAUCCGCCGAAGUUCCUCCGAUGACUCGGCGGGCAGCUUCCGGGAAACCAAAGCUUUUGGGUUCCGGGGGAAGUAUGGUUGCAAAGCUGAAACUUAAAGGAAUUGACGGAAGGGCACCACCAGGAGUGGAGCCUGCGGCUUAAUUUGACUCAACACGGGAAACCUCACCAGGCCCGGACACCGGAAGGAUUGACAGAUUGAUAGCUCUUUCUUGAUUCGGUGGGUGGUGGUGCA